rnacentral:rRNA from 1 species
UACAGAGGUGGCAAGCGUUGUUCGGAAUUACUGGGCGUAAAGGGCGCGUAGGCGGUUCGUUAAGUCCUGUGUGAAAUCCCCCGGCUCAACUGGGGAACUGCACAGGAAACUAGCGGGCUUGAGUUCGGGAGAGGGAUGCAGAAUUCCAGGUGUAGCGGUGAAAUGCGUAGAUAUCUGGAGGAAUACCGGUGGCGAAGGCGGCAUCCUGGACCGAGAUUGACACUGAUGAGCGAAAGCCAGGGGAGCAAACGGG